UGGCGGCAGGCCUAACACAUGCAAGUCGAGCGGUAACAUUUCUAGCUUGCUAGAAGAUGACGAGCGGCGACGGGUGAGUAACGCGUAGAAAUCUACCUAGUAGUGGGGGAUAGCCCAGAGAAAUUUGGAUUAAUACCGCAUACGCCCUACGGGGGAAAGCGGGGGAUCUUCGGACCUCGUGCUAUUAGAUGAGUCUGCGUCGGAUUAGCUUGUUGGUGAGGUAAUGGCUCACCAAGGCGACGAUCCGUAGCUGGUCUGAGAGGAUGACCAGCCACACUGGAACUGAGACACGGUCCAGACUCCUACGGGAGGCAGCAGUGGGGAAUAUUGCACAAUGGGCGCAAGCCUGAUGCAGCCAUGCCGCGUGUGUGAAGAAGGCCUUAGGGUUGUAAAGCACUUUCAGCAGUGAGGAAAGGGGUGUCGUUAAUAGCGCCAUCCUGUGACGUUAACUGCAGAAGAAGGACCGGCUAACUCCGUG
rnacentral:rRNA from 1 species